UGCCUCCUCCUCAGACAGUGCUGAGUCCUAUGGAUACUGUGUUCCCAGGGCAGGGCUGCCUCCUCCACUGACAGUUCUGAGUCCUAUGGAUACUGUGUUCCCAGGUCAGGGCUGCAUCCUCCACUGACAGUUCUGAGUCCUAUGGAUACUGUGUUCCCAGGUCAGGGCUGCAUCCUCCACUGACAGUGCUGAGCCCUAUGAAUACUAUGUUCCCAGGUCAGGGCUGCCUCCUCCUCAGACAGUGCUGAGUCCUAUGGAUAUUAUGGUUUUUAUUUUUUUCUAUAUCUUUGUUAAAAUUUACAAAUUAAGUACAGCAAGGUAUUAACAAAAUUCAACAGUCAUAAUGUAAUAAAAGGUAUGGUGAUGAGCUACUAUUAACUAAAACAAGGGUUUUUUGAACAUAAGCUCUUACCUGACAGUGUAUCUGACCUAUACGGCUACUGAUGACCCACAGGCAGGUAGUGUAGACAGUGUGAGAUUUCAUCCCACUGCUUCGAAGAAUGGUGUCCCAUUUAACACUGAGGAAGUAUUUAUGUCUGGAAUUUUCCAUCUAAUAUGUCCAGACUGAGGGUAAUUGUGGGCACGAAAGUGUGGAAAGCAAAACCAUGGAUGGAGGCACUACUGAGUUCUGCUGAAAUAUGCUGGUUACAGCAAGCCCGGGUUGCUCAAGGAGAAUGCUUCCUGUUUAGGCUGCUAGCCCUAAUCCUUGUACCAGAAGGACAUUGCUGCGUGUGGCUAAGUGCUCAACGAGCGAAAGGAAACAAACAGAACUGUUCUUUUUCUAAGGUUCACUGCAGUAGAAGAAAAUGACAGAUAAUCCCAAGUAGAAGACUACAGAUAAACCGAUGUGUGCAUCCAAAUAUGUGGAACAGAGGAAACCUCACCUGUAAGAGUAAAAGGUGAAAAUCCCAUUGUGGCUGAGUUUUGCACCUCCAGCAUAAGCACCACCUUUUUCUCGAAUUUCUGUAUGCAGAAACUUGGCAGUCAUCAAGCAUGCAAGGAUUUUGAGACUGAAAUGGAUUAGAAAAUCCUGUUAAAAACAUGUCUGAUAAAAAAGCAUGCAGUGAAAUAAUUAUUGGAAUAAGUGAAAAUGAAAAUAAACUCAAUCUGUAAAGUAAUGCCAUAUAAA